rnacentral:rRNA from 1 species
GAUGAACGCUGGCGGCGUGCCUAAUACAUGCAAGUCGAGCGAACAGACGAGGAGCUUGCUCCUCUGACGUUAGCGGCGGACGGGUGAGUAACACGUGGAUAACCUACCUAUAAGACUGGGAUAACUUCGGGAAACCGGAGCUAAUACCGGAUAAUAUAUUGAACCGCAUGGUUCAAUAGUGAAAGACGGUCUUGCUGUCACUUAUAGAUGGAUCCGCGCCGCAUUAGCUAGUUGGUAAGGUAACGGCUUACCAAGGCAACGAUGCGUAGCCGACCUGAGAGGGUGAUCGGCCACACUGGAACUGAGACACGGUCCAGACUCCUACGGGAGGCAGCAGUAGGGAAUCUUCCGCAAUGGGCGAAAGCCUGACGGAGCAACGCCGCGUGAGUGAUGAAGGUCUUCGGAUCGUAAAACUCUGUUAUUAGGGAAGAACAAAUGUGUAAGUAACUAUGCACGUCUUGACGGUACCUAAUCAGAAAGCCACGACUAACUACGUG